rnacentral:rRNA from 1 species
UACAGAGGGGGCGAGCGUUGUUCGGAAUUACUGGGCGUAAAGGGCGCGUAGGCGGCCCGCUAAGUCGAACGUGAAAUCCCCAGGCUCAACCUGGGAACUGCGUCCGAUACUGGCAGGCUUGAAUCCGGGAGAGGGAUGUGGAAUUCCAGGUGUAGCGGUGAAAUGCGUAGAUAUCUGGAGGAACACCGGUGGCGAAGGCGGCAUCCUGGACCGGUAUUGACGCUGAGGCGCGAAAGCUAGGGGGAGCAAACGGG